CUUAGUUUAGCUAAGCUGUUUACCAUGGCGGAGGCAGAUAGAUAUACCUUUGGACCAAGUCUCUCUCCAACCUACCUAAAUUGUCAUACGACGACGUCCUUAGGAUCGUAAAUCAACACUGACGUGUCGAAACAUCCAAACUACGUAAGGGAUAUAAGUUAUUCUUGGAGAAGUACAUUUUUAAUUACAGAGACACAUGACUACCACUUCACAGGGGAGAAAAGCGUGCCAACACCUCUGUCGUUCACCAGUGUUCUGCAGUCGUGGCACCGACAAAGGACACAGGGAACACAUACAUGGACACAUACCUCCUGAAUGCCAAAUGAAUAUAACCGAGGGACAAACACACCCCAUUUCAUUUAUUUAUUUCUGUUAAAUGUAUAUUUACAUUUAUAUUUUAAUCAAAGAAUUGGAAACGAACACUCCUGAACAUUUGUUUAAGGUAUCACACUCUGAGCACCUUUAAAACAAGACUGAAGACUUUUAUGUUUGCAUUAGCUUUCUGCUAAAUCUUAAAUACAUUGAACUUUCUUAAAAGCUUCUUUAACUUUGCCAUUAUUUUCUAUUUUAAUAGUAAAAUGCCUUUUUUAACUUUCUAUUUUACUAAUUUCUUUGCAUAUGUUUUCUUUUACUUAUCUAUUAUUUUAUUGUAUGACAAUGUUUAUAUGUGAAGCACUUUGAGUCUGCCUAGUGUAUGAAAAGUGCUAUUUAGAUAAAGUUGCCUUGCCUAACACACACAGAACAUUUCAUUUCUUUCUGUUGAAUGUAAAUAUGUAUAUAUGUAAAUUUAAAAAAAAGAACUUACCCCUUAUAUUUUAUUUGACGAAGACAACAGUGUUACCCCUUAUGUUUUUUUUCAUGACGACCAAUAAAAAACGACAGUGUUACCCCUUAUGUUUUUAUUCAUGACGACCAAUAAAAAAACAACACUGUUACCCCUUAUGUUUUUUUUCAUGACGACCAAUAAAAAACUACAGUGUUACCCCUUAUGUUUUUAUUCAUGACGUCCAAUAAAAAAACAACAGUGUUACCCCUUAUGUUUUUUUUCAUGACGACCAAUAAAAAACAACGGUGUUACCCCUUAUGUUUUUUUUAUGACGACGAAUAAAAAACAACAGCGUUACUCCUUAUGGUUUUUUUCAUGACGACCAAAGAAAGACGACAG
ensembl:lncRNA